rnacentral:rRNA from 1 species
AGUGAACGCUUUCUUUCGGCCUAACACAUGCAAGUCGAACGGCAGCACAGUAAGAGCUUGCUCUUACGGGUGGCGAGUGGCGGACGGGUGAGGAAUACAUCGGAAUCUACUUUUUCGUGGGGGAUAACGUAGGGAAACUUACGCUAAUACCGCAUACGACCUACGGGUGAAAGCAGGGGAUCUUCGGACCUUGCGCGAUUGAAUGAGCCGAUGUCGGAUUAGCUAGUUGGCGGGGUAAAGGCCCACCAAGGCGACGAUCCGUAGCUGGUCUGAGAGGAUGAUCAGCCACACUGGAACUGAGACACGGUCCAGACUCCUACGGGAGGCAGCAGUGGGGAAUAUUGGACAAUGGGCGCAAGCCUGAUCCAGCCAUACCGCGUGGGUGAAGAAGGCCUUCGGGUUGUAAAGCCCUUUUGUUGGGAAAGAAAAGCAGCAGGUUAAUACCCCGCUGUUCUGACGGUACCCAAAGAAUAAGCACCGGCUAACUUCGUG